GGACCCGCGGCGCAUUAGCUAGUUGGUAACGGCUCACCAAGGCAACGAUGCGUAGCCGACCUGAGAGGGUGAUCGGCCACACUGGACUGACACGGCCCAGACUCCUACGGGAGGCAGCAGUAGGGAAUCUUCCGCAAUGGACGAAAGUCUGACGGAGCAACGCCGCGUGAUGAAGGUUUUCGGAUCGUAAAGCUCUGUUGUUAGGGAAGAACAAGUACCGUUCGAAUAGGGCGGUACCUUGACGGUACCUAACCAGAAAGCCACGGCU
rnacentral:rRNA from 1 species